GGAGCUCAGGCAAGGCUCCUCCAGCGCGACAGUGUCCCGGGCCCGGCUGGCCUCGGGUUGAAGCCCCGGGACUUUGCAGCAGACGGAGAGCCUGCCCGGAGGCCUGCGGCAUUCCACGGGUGUCCAGAAGCCUCAGCUGCUUAUCAGUGUUCCCAUGGCAACGUCUGUUGCGUGGGAAUGCUGGUUGUCCUCCCUUAAAGGAUCCUGUCUCUUAACUCUGGUGGACACACACGCUGCCGCUGAUGGAGAAGAGGAGCUUGCUGUUUUCCACACCCAUUCCAGACUUGCAAGAAAGAAAACCUAGCCAGAAGCUGGAAGGAAUCCAGAAGAUGUGGACAAACCCGCAGCUCUCCCUUGAGAGAGAGGUGUGUUCUUUCAUUUCUCAGGUCUAUUGAAGCCUUGAGAAGAAUAAUUGAGGGACUGCUUGCCUUGGAGGCAUUUCACUGAGGCAAGCUCAGCCCUGGGUCAGCAAUGUUCCAGGCUGUUAGGAGAGACACACACACUUGCACACCUCAUGUGUAAGAUCCCCAAAACCACAGCUGUUGACUUAAGGCUUUGUAGACCCUCUCAACACUUUGGGUCCUAAAAAACCCAGGAGCCAAAGCCCUGGGGAGGCUUUCCUUUCCUUGUCAUGUCUUCAGAAUAAAUUGGGGUGAAUGAUUACAGCUAAGGUUGAGAACUGAUUGGAGUAACUUUUAAUUAAAUUCUCUUGAUGGAAA